rnacentral:rRNA from 1 species
GAUGAACGCUAGCGGCAGGCCUAAUACAUGCAAGUCGGACGGGAUUUGGGAGCUUGCUCCUGAUGAGAGUGGCGCACGGGUGCGUAACACGUAUGUAACCUACCUUAACCAGGGGGAUAGCCUCUCGAAAGAGAGAUUAACACCGCAUAAAAUAAUGAACUGGCAUCUGUUUAUUAUCAAAUAUUUAUAGGGUUAAGAUGGGCAUGCGGAACAUUAGCUAGUUGGUAAGGUAAUGGCUUACCAAGGCUACGAUGUUUAGGGGAUCUGAGAGGAUGGCCCCCCACACUGGUACUGAGACACGGACCAGACUCCUACGGGAGGCAGCAGUAAGGAAUAUUGGUCAAUGGGCGGAAGCCUGAACCAGCCAUGCCGCGUGCAGGAAGACGGCCCUAUGGUUGUAAACUGCUUUUGUACCGGAAUAAACCUUUGGUCGUGACCGAAGCUGAAUGUACGGUAAGAAUAAGGAUCGGCUAACUCCGUGCCAGCAGCCGCCGUAA